GACGAACGCUGGCGGCGUGCCUAAUACAUGCAAGUCGUGCGGACCUUGUUGAAAGCUUGCUUUUAAAAGGUUAGCGGCGGACGGGUGAGUAACACGUGGGCAACCUGCCUGUAAGACUGGGAUAACGCCGGGAAACCGGGGCUAAUACCAGAUCGUUUUUUCCUCCGCAUGGAGGAAAAAGGAAAGGCGGCUUCGGCUGCCACUUACAGAUGGGCCCGCGGCGCAUUAGCUAGUUGGCGGGGUAAUGGCCCACCAAGGCAACGAUGCGUAGCCGACCUGAGAGGGUGAUCGGCCACAUUGGGACUGAGACACGGCCCAAACGCCUACGGGAGGCAGCAGUAGGGAAUCUUCCGCAAUGGACGAAAGUCUGACGGAGCAACGCCGCGGGAGUGAAGAAGGCCUUCGGGUCGUAAAACUCUGUUGCCGGGGAAGAACAAGUGCCGUUCGAACAGGGCGGCGCCUUGACGGUACCCGGCCAGAAAGCCACGGCUAACUACGUG
rnacentral:rRNA from 1 species